GUGCUCACUUCGGAAGCACAUACACUAAAACUGGAGCAAUACAGAGAAGAUUAGCAUGGUCCCUACUAUGCAAGGAUGACACACAAAUUCGUGAAGUGUUCAUAUUUUUU
rnacentral:snRNA from 1 species